rfam:Salmonella enterica subsp. enterica serovar Newport str. S09097 S_Newport_S09097_mira454_rep_c2182, whole genome shotgun sequence.
CAGUCUCAGAUAUUAAAUAGUAGGAGUGCAUAGUGGCCCGUAUAGCAGGCAUUAACAUUCCUGAU